rnacentral:rRNA from 1 species
UACGUAGGGUGCGAGCGUUCAUCGGAAUUACUGGGCGUAAAGCGUGCGCAGGCGGUUUUGUAAGCCAGAUGUGAAAUCCCCGGGCUUAACCUGGGAAUGGCAUUUGGGACUGCAAGGCUGGAGUGCGGCAGAGGAGACUGGAAUUCCUGGUGUAGCAGUGAAAUGCGUAGAUAUCAGGAGGAACACCGAUGGCGAAGGCAGGUCUCUGGGCUGACACUGACGCUCAUGCACGAAAGCGUGGGGAGCAAACAGG